GAGUUUGAUCCUGGCUCAGGAUGAACGCUAGCGGCAGGCUUAAUACAUGCAAGUCGAGGGGCAGCACGGGUAGCAAUACUUGGUGGCGACCGGCGCACGGGUGCGUAACGCGUAUACAAUCUACCUUAAACAGGGGGAUAGCCUUUCGAAAGAGAGAUUAAUACCCCGUAACAAAUUGAGUGGCAUCACUUGAUUUUGAAAGUUCCGACGGUUUAAGAUGAGUAUGCGUCUGAUUAGCUAGUUGGUGGUGUAAUGGACCACCAAGGCGACGAUCAGUAGGGGAUCUGAGAGGACUACCCCCCACACUGGUACUGAGACACGGACCAGACUCCUACGGGAGGCAGCAGUAAGGAAUAUUGGUCAAUGGAGGCAACUCUGAACCAGCCAUGCCGCGUGCAGGAAGACGGCCCUAUGGGUUGUAAACUGCUUUUGUACCAGAGAAAACCUACUCACGUGUGAGUAGCUGAUAGUAUGGUAAGAAUAAGCAUCGGCUAACUUCGUGCCAGCAGC
rnacentral:rRNA from 1 species